UAUACUUAGAGCUAAGAUAACCGGAGAAGCCGAGAAAUCCUAUACUAAAGCAUUCAUUGUUAUCAAGCUUGAUUAGUUCACCUAGUAUCUAAACCAGAGCCCUUCUAUGAGCCUACCUGUUCUUUCUUAAAUGCCUAGGCUCAUCUAUGAUAGUUCAAACAACAAGUACCUAUGGUAGGCAUACCUAUUAUCUAAUAUCAAGUUUUAGGUGAUCAAUCUAAAACUAGCAAUAAAAAUAAUCAAGAUGAAGAACUCUAAGAAUAAUCCUAAGCGGUUUUCGAUCUACUAAUCCAUCUAAAUCCCUAUUGAGACUCCUUAAACCCAACAAGGUGAUUACUUAGACAUGAUAACGGUAACACAAAUCAUAAUCUGAAUAGUUUGCAUUGAUGAAUUAGGAUAGAAGUGAAAGGAGUUCAG
rnacentral:sRNA from 1 species